UACGGAAGGCAGCAGUGGGGAAUAUUGCACAAUGGGCGCAAGCCUGAUGCAGCCAUGCCGCGUGUAUGAAGAAGGCCUUCGGGUUGUAAAGUACUUUCAGCGGGGAGGAAGGCGAUGCGGUUAAUAACCGCGUCGAUUGACGUUACCCGCAGAAGAAGCACCGGCUAACUCCGUGCCAGCAGCCGCGGUAAUACGGAGGGUGCAAGCGUUAAUCGGAAUUACUGGGCGUAAAGCGCACGCAGGCGGUCUGUUAAGUCAGAUGUGAAAUCCCCGGGCUUAACCUGGGAACUGCAUUUUGAAACUGGCAGGCUUGAGUCUUGUAGAGGGGGUAGAAUUCCAGGUGUAGCGGUGAAAUGCGUAGAGAUCUGGAGGAAUCCGGUGGCGAAGGCGGCCCCUGGGACAAAGCUGACGCUCAGGUGCGAAAGCGUGGGGAGCAAACGAGGAUUAGAUACC
rnacentral:rRNA from 1 species